CCCUUCCCCAUUAUCGCUAUAAAUAUAAUGCAAGGUUUCAUAGAAGGCAGUGAUUUGAAGAAAGCUAUUGUUAUAGAUGCUGCUGUCUUCUCCAUGGAGAUUUGUCUUUUGUUUGAUCAAGUUUGAUGGAACUGCUGUUUGUUCCAGUUGACUCCCUGCGGUGGGAAUUCCGAGAGAUCUGAUGUUGGACAUAUGGAGUUUAUUUUUUGAGGUUGAGGAAGAUGAAACAGGAAAAUUAAAAGUACGGGCAUGAUACAGAGGGCUGACUUUGGAAGUGGAAGGUUAGCAGCGAACUAAUUGAGAACGAGAAACCAAAUGAAAAAGGCAAUCAAGGCAUGGAGUUACAGAAGAUACCCUAUGUGUCCGCAGUACAUAAUAUGUUGACUGUAUUUGGAUAAUUUUGUUCAAUGUUGCCCUUACGUUUCUCACCAGUAUAUGCAUCAUUUGCUGAAUAUUUCACAAAACUCUGAUAGUAAAAUAUCAGUCAUCUAUAUCACUGUUUCUGAGACCGGUUCAAUC